UACGGAGGGGGGCUAGCGUUGUUCGGAAUUACUGGGCGUAAAAGCGCACGUAGGCGGCUUUUGUAAGUUAGAGGUGAAAGCCCAGGGCUUAACCCCUGGAAUUGCCUUUAAGACUGCAUCGCUAGAAUCGUGGAGAGGUGAGUGGAAUUCCGAGUGUAGAGGUGAAAAUUCGUAGAUAUUCGGAAAGAACACCAGUGGCGAAGGCGACUCACUGGACACGUAUUUGACG
rnacentral:rRNA from 1 species